rnacentral:rRNA from 1 species
AUUGAACGCUGGCGGCAUGCCUUACACAUGCAAGUCGAACCGUAACAGGUUAAGCUGACGAGUGGCGAACGGGUGAGUAAUAUAUCGGAACGUGCCCAGUCGUGGGGGAUAACGUAGCGAAAGCUACGCUAAUACCGCAUACGAUCUACGGAUGAAAGCGGGGGAUCGCAAGACCUCGCGCGAUUGGAGCGGCCGAUAUCAGAUUAGGUUGUUGGUGAGGUAAAAGCUCACCAAGCCUGCGAUCUGUAGCUGGUCUGAGAGGACGACCAGCCACACUGGAACUGAGACACGGUCCAGACUCCUACGGGAGGCAGCAGUGGGGAAUUUUGGACAAUGGACGCAAGUCUGAUCCAGCAAUGCCGCGUGCAGGACGAAGGCCUUCGGGUUGUAAACUGCUUUUGUACGGAACGAAACGGUGAGCUCUAAUACAGUUUGCUAAUGACGGUACCGUAAGAAUAAGCACCGGCUAACUACGUGCCAGCCGCCGCGGUAACAC